CUACCACCAGCUUAGUUAAUCUUAAUAAGUUUCAGGGAAGAAUACAGAGAAGAUUAGCAUGGCCCCUGCGCAAGGAUGACACACAAAUUCGUGAAGGGUUCCAUAUAAUA
rnacentral:snRNA from 1 species